rnacentral:rRNA from 1 species
UAAGUAAGCGGAGGAAAAGAAACUAAACUGGAUUCCCUAAGUAAUGGCGAAUGAACAGGGAUGAGCUCAUUGUUAAAAUCAGGGUCCCUGACUCUGAGUUGUAGCCUGGAGAUGCGUCGCCAACAGGGGCGUAGGUGCGAACCUCUUGGAAAAGAGCAUCAAGGAGGGUGAGAAUCCCAUGCAUCACCUGUGGCCCCCUGUGCUCGGCGCGCUUUCUAAGAGUCACGCUCCUCGGGAUUGGAGCGCAAAGUGGGUGGUAAAUGCCAUCUUAAGCUAAAUAUGGGUUCGAGACCGAUAGCAAACAAGUACCAUGAGGGAAAGGUGAAAAGGACUUUGGAAAGAGAGUUAAAAGUGCCUGAAAUUGCUGUAAGGGAAGCGAAUGGAACCAGUCAGCCUCGGCGAGAUUGCUGCGCGCUCAAGUGAGGCCCUGCUCCGGUAGUGCAAACACGGCUGCAGGCGUCGAUCUGGUUGCGCGUGGUCGCUUCUUGCUUUGGGUGUCAGCGUCAGCUCAACUCUGAGGACAACCCCAAGGACAUGGAAGGCCGCCCCCGGGUGGCUGAAGGUGCUUGGCGGAACUCAAGCGUGGACUGCUUGGCGCAACGCGCCUGCGCUGACGACAUGGAUUCGUUCGGCCCG